rnacentral:lncRNA from 1 species
UGAAGUAUCCUCUGUAAACUCUGUAGCCGCGGAAGCUGAUCACCGUCAGAGCUACGUGGCUCUUCAAGCUCGUUUCUUAGUGCAGCAGUUCGAGUUUCAAUCAUACCAAUAGCAUUCUCCACAGGUGAAAACUCAAGUGAUUCAGAUUUAGUAACCAAAAGCCGGUUCACUAAAGCAGGAAACGAGCCCUCAGUUUGAACCACAGUUCGUCUUUUCCAUUGGUCUUCCAACCCACCUUGAGUCUUGCCAUUUUUAGUAAAAGGAGUAUCAAACAAGAACCGAUCAAAAACACGAGCCCGAACUGAACCAGUAGAAAGAGAAAAAAUCCUCUCCCUUCUACUUCCAAGAUCCUCAUCUUCCAAUACUGGAUCAACGGCUGUGAUUUGCAGAUAGCAAACACCGGGCUGUAAUUCAUCAGCUUUUACUUGUCGGGAGUCAGGAAUUAUAUGUAACGUGUGAUCACCGUCCAUUCUUAGUUCAUAUAUAUGACUAAGUUUUUCCAUUAUGUCACCUAAUCUUACAUCACGAGGCUCUCGGUAUACAUAUUCUUUUUUAUUAAGUUUUCCGAAUUUUUCACCAUAAAAUCCCACGCGAUAAUACGUGGCAUCUAUAAAUGGAAUUGGACUUGAUUCUUGUUCUAAGAUUGAUUCAUAGAUGUUACAACAGCAACAGCACACUGUGCAGCUUCAGCCCAUGA